AUGGGGGUGGAGGUGGCAUUUUAUGAAAAUCUGAAAUCUUUGUUUUAAAAUAAGAACAGCUUUGUCUUGGAUUCUAUUACCCUUGGUCCACAAACUCUACUGAAAUCAGUGAAAAUUUCUAACUUUUCUUAAAGGGCAGUUAAAUGUCACGCUGAGCCUAGUUAUAUGUAACGAGCAAAACGUUCAGUGUAUUCAACAAAGCCCAAAGUUCGUAUUUCAGGAGAAGUAAAUCAAUGUAGAGACAAGAUAAUCAACCUCCCCAACAUCUUUAUGAAGAUCGUCACCGAGUCUUUAGCCCGCCUUCUGUUAGUUCAUCUCAGUCCACCACUGUAUUUUCCUCUUUGCUUUAUGAAUAUCCUUUUUCCCCCCAAAAUGACACCUACUGGUAUUCAUUCAUUCUGUAGUGACUCCCAUCUAUUUACUGUGUCUUGUCAUUUUCAUACAGUUUGGGGCAUGGAUUAAAAUCAUGGCUUCCUCAUUGAUGAACACAAUGCAUUGAUUCCUCUGUUUGUGGACCAAAUUGUAAAGGGACAAAGGUAAAUGAUAUCUGAAAAUCUCUAUACAAAAGGAAUAACGUUUGAAGGAUUUAAAAUUAUUUCCCACUUUAGCUGCACUAACAUGUUCUCAACACUCAAGAAUAACUCUCCCGCUUCUUGAUCUUCCCCAUAAGCUUCAGAAAUCUCACAGUAAAGAACAUUCAUCAGCAUUUGUCAGUGGCAGCAACCUCAGAAAGCCUGCAUUCCAGCACUGGAAUGGAAGAAAAGCAAAUAAUGCCGAGGCAUAUUUAAAAGGGAACGACGAAUGCCCAUCACUUAAUCUCGAUACAGGAGUAAAAUACAUCAGCUUUAUUUUGGUGUUGUGUCUCCCAAGAGAUCAGCAUUUUGCUUUUAUUAAGGUUUGCAUAUAUUCCCAAGUAUUUUAAACUAUGACAUGAAAAAUAACUCUAGUGCUUUUAAGUAAUCUUGGUAUGUAAAUUCGGAAAACCAGAGAAUCAAAAAAGAGUAUUUCUAUAGCUCAAUGUGUCUGUUGCUCUCAUUUGUAUUCGGGGGCGAUUUUCAGGCAAGGAGGAAAAGGUGUUUAAAUUUCCUACACAAUUCUGCCCUCUGUUGCAACUAUCUUGAAUUACUGGCUUUAACAAAAAGAACAAAAUGUUAAACGAAUAAAAUAGGAGCAUACCUUUUGUGUGAGUGUCUGUGUAUGUGUAGUUAUACCUUACUAUACAUAAAGGAAAAUGUACUGGGGCUGGCCCGGUGGCGCAGCGGUUAAGUGCGCACAUUCUGCUUCAGCGGCCUGGGGUUCGCUGGUUCGGAUCCCGGGUGUGGACACGGCAGCAUUCCAGGCUCUGAACACCAGGCACAGCACACAAGGUGGCGCCCUCAGCACUCAGGGAGGCUGGGAGGCUUCAACCAGAGCUAUGGUGCCUCAAGUUGGGGAGCAAAAACUGAAACAGAGCCGAGAGAGAGAGCACUGGGAGCCAGAGUCCAAGACAUUUGUCCACAGUGGCCAUCAGAGCAAAGGGGCCUGCAGUGCGGAUGAGAACUGAGGGAUCAAACCAAGUGACAGGGGAACCUAAGAGCCAUAAGCAGAGCAGGCUCAGAGCAGGCGGAUGAGGAUGGUCUGGACAAAGAGCCAAGGGACGGGCUCCUGCCCAGGGCAGGGCUUUUGCACAUUCCAGGAGGAUUAUUGGGUCCAGAUUCCUGUAAGGGCUCAGGUUGGCAUGGCCAAGGUCCAUCACUGUGUUUAAUAUUUGAUUCAACAAUCUCGUGUGCCCCAAGGACCUCUCAGUCAUGACGCUGCCUCCCACUCACCAUGUCACCGUAUUUCCUCACUCAGCUCCAACAUAUAGCUGGAACAGACAAGAAAGGAAUUGUUCUCAUUACAAAACUAACCUUGUGCCAGCACCGUGAGCUGCAG
ensembl:lncRNA